ACACCAAAACAACCGGAUCAAAUAACUGGUGAGUAUGGAAUCUUUUUCUGUUUUUUAUUUUAUAUAUUUUUUCAGUUUGGAGUUUGUGGAAUAGAUAGGUUUUUACUUUAUGAAUCUGGAACGAACGGAUUGCUACCGGCGGCAUUCCUGAACGCAAUUGGGUCCAACACGGAAGCUAAACUAGUUCAUAUGCAUCCGGACAACGUUGCCCAGAAGCAGGCACAACAAGCAAUGAAUUUCGAUACGGAACAACUGAGCAGAUGCAUAUCAGUGAAAGUUUAUUCCGUUCUGAGACAUUUCUACCAACGAAGUAAGGACACGAACGGUAUUGAAUUGAAUGAUGCUAAGCCAGAUCAACAGUGUGGGGAGACUGACGGUGUAGAUUCGCCACAGGUGGAAAUUAAUCACAAACGCAAGAUGUGACAUUAUCAGAUUCUCCCAAAGUGGUUUCUUACCAGCUAUGAAUACACCCGUUCGGAUGAUGUGGCUUUUUUGCUUCCAUCAACUGCAGUCAACAGCAUCGGCUUUCCCGUAGCAGUAUCCUCCAAGCCAUGGUGGCUGUUCCAGGGGACAACAUCAACAGCAGCAGCAUCUGGACCUGACCAUCGAUAGUGUUUCGAGCAACUUUCCAUAUCGGAGAUCUCGUGCUUCGCGCACAUUGAAGAAACCUCCUCAGCCACAUAUGUGUGUCAAGGAGAAAAAGGAGCUGGAUUCGAAUCGUCAAUCCAGACAACCCGAAUGCACCGAUUACAUUAUAUAUCCUGUUUAUAUUUUAUAUGCAUUUUGUGUUUUUUUGAAUAAAAUGAUUAAAAUCGA